GAUUAUUUGCAAUAAAAGGUAAAAUUAGGUUGUUGCUAUAUAAUUUUUUUGGGGAGAUUAUAGCUGAAGCUAGAAAAAUUUAGUUAAAAACUAGGAUUAGAUACCCUACUAUUCUAAAUUAAAAGUUAAAAUACUAAAUUAGUAAUAGUUAGUUACUUAAAAAUUAAAAAAUUUGGCGGUGAUUUAAUCUCCCCAGAGGAACUUGUUUCUUAAUCGAUACACCACGUAGAAUCUUACUUGUUUUUGUAGAUAAAGCAGUUUGUAUACCAUCAUUAUCAGGUAAUUUCAAGAGAAAAAAUUACUAAGCUGUAAUUAGUUAUAAAAAUUAGAUCAUGGUGCAGCGUAUAAACAAGUUGAAAUGAGUUACAAUAAAUUAUUUUAUACGGAGCUGCAAAUAAAGAUUUGUUGUGAAGGAGGAUUUGGUUGUAUUACAAUAUUAAUAAGUUUGUAUGAUAUAGGUGCUAGAUCAUGUACAUAUCGCCCGUCGCUUUCGU
rnacentral:rRNA from 1 species